AUAGGUGUAGUAUGUGUGUAGCAUACAUUCUUGUAAUGUGUGUAUUAUGUGUGCAGAAGAUACAUGUAAGUUGCAUGUGUAUGAAUAAUUCAUAUUACCUUAUAAAUAAGCCUAUGCAAAUGCGAACUUGUAAAUAUCUGUGUGUGUAUGCAUGUAAAUGGACAAUUGUGUAUGGUUUGAUGAAAGCAUUUAUGUAUACAACGGCGAGCCUAUACGUUUGGAAGUGAAUGUAUAGAUCGUGUAGAUAUAUAGUUAACCAGCUUGUAAUUGCUUACCUGCAGAUACUCCGUUGUCCUUAGUUUUUGGAUUGUUCCUCCCAUAAAGACGCAUCUUGCCUGAGUAAGUUCCCACGAACAUCCAGUUCAACAAGAUGCCGGACGGUCCCAGAAAGACGACGUACCAUGUACAGACAACAUGCGCUUGAUAAGAUGGAGGAGAUCUUUGAAAAGAAUCCCUACCCAAAUCUUGACAUCAGAGAGAAUCUUUCACAAGAGCUCGAGGUCCCCGAGUCGAAAAUACAGGGGUGGUUUCAGAAUCGUCGUACUCGCCGAGGACGUACCAAGACCCGACGUGGACCCUGUAGCACCAGACAGUCAGUAAACCGCCAUACUCUCAUCCGAAACAGCCUCUCCCCUACUGCAACCCCCUGUCAUGGUUCCACGCUCCGUCACCCUUGCUGCCAGAUCUUCUACCCCGUUGUUCCCCAACAGCUGACCACUUGAUCACGUCUCACUCCGGAGCCCAACACUUGAAAUCACAGCAACAAGACCAUCUGAGAGAACUGUUGAUUGAAAGAGUUGAGGGCCUACGAGGUCAAAGCUUCCAGCUCCAUUGUAUCUGAUAGCGAUUCCAACUUAACAUCAGAUAUUUGCUGACCUCACAAGUGAAAUAUCAUUAUAGUGCUAUGAGUAGCCGAGAGAACUACUUAGUGUUAGUGCUACAUACAAUGAAAACCCAGUCAAUGUUCAGGCG